rnacentral:rRNA from 1 species
AUACGAAGGGGGCUAGCGUUGUUCGGAAUUACUGGGCGUAAAGCGUACGUAGGCGGAUUGUUAAGUGAGGGGUGAAAUCCCGAGGCUCAACCUCGGAACUGCCUUUCAUACUGGCAAUCUUGAGUCCGGGAGAGGUGAGUGGAAUUCCUAGUGUAGAGGUGAAAUUCGUAGAUAUUAGGAAGAACACCAGUGGCGAAGGCGGCUCACUGGCCCGGAACUGACGCUGAGGUACG